UGGCGGACGGGUGAGUAACGCGUGGGAACAUACCCUUUGGUACGGAAUAGCCUCGGGAAACUGAGAGUAAUACCGUAUGUGCCCUUCGGGGGAAAGAUUUAUCGCCAAAGGAUUGGCCCGCGUUGGAUUAGGUAGUUGGUGGGGUAAUGGCCUACCAAGCCGACGAUCCAUAGCUGGUUUGAGAGGAUGAUCAGCCACACUGGGACUGAGACACGGCCCAGACUCCUACGGGAGGCAGCAGUGGGGAAUCUUAGACAAUGGGGGAAACCCUGAUCUAGCCAUGCCGCGUGAUCGAUGAAGGCCUUAGGGUUGUAAAGAUCUUUCAGAUGGGAAGAUAAUGACGGUACCAUCAGAAGAAGCCCCGGCUAACUCCGUGCCAGCAGCCGCGGUAAUACGGAGGGGGCUAGCGUUAUUCGGAAUUACUGGGCGUAAAGCGCACGUAGGCGGAUCAGAAAGUCAGAGGUGAAAUCCCAGGGCUCAACCUUGGAACUGCCUUUGAAAC
rnacentral:rRNA from 1 species